CACUACGCUGGCAAAGCUGCUGGCGUUGGAGGAAGAGCGGGAAAGGUCCUGCGCCUCGGGGAUGGACGGCGCCCUGCAACACAUCGCCAAACUACACACCUGGGUCACUCUGACCGCAACAAACUCCUGUGUUUCCCAUACGAGAGAAGUGGAUGCCCUCCGGUGUCCUCUGGGUGCUGGGUGACACCUCUCGACUUCAGGACAAGAAUGGAGAUUGACAUAUGAAAAUGCACUGUGCUCUGUCCUCUCACCUCCUCUCUUGGACCUCCUGGAUGUUCUCGAUGCCAAUGGCGCUGCUGCGGCGGGAGCUGAAUGGGC